rnacentral:tRNA from 1 species
GAGGGUAUAGCUCAAGUGGUCGAGCCCAUGCUUAGCGUGCAGGAAGUCCUGGGUUCAAUUCCCAGUACCCCCU